UAGGGAAUCUUCCACAAUGGGCGCAAGCCUGAUGGAGCAACGCCGCGUGAGUGAAGAAGGUCUUCGGAUCGUAAAACUCUGUUGUUAGAGAAGAACAUGCAGGAGAGUAACUGUUCUUGUGUUGACGGUAUCUAACCAGAAAGCCACGGCUAACUACGUCCCAG
rnacentral:rRNA from 1 species